UACGGAGGGGGCUAGCGUUGUUCGGAAUUACUGGGCGUAAAGCGCACGUAGGCGGCUUUGUAAGUUAGAGGUGAAAGCCCGGGGCUCAACCCCGGAAUUGCCUUUAAGACUGCAUCGCUAGAAUUGUGGAGAGGUAAGUGGAAUUCCGAGUGUAGAGGUGAAAUUCGUAGAUAUUCGGAAGAACACCAGUGGCGAAGGCGGCUCACUGGCCCGUUACCGACGCUCAGGCGCGACAGCGUGGGGAGCAAACAGG
rnacentral:rRNA from 1 species